AGAAAUCAGCAGUUAGGGCCGCCGCCGCUCGGCGCCUCGACAACAGCAGUCGAUCUCCCGCCGCCGUUUGGCCCAGCCAGAGCCAUCAUCGUCGCUCGCCCCCUCUACCAUAGAUCUCACGCCGUCGCGCUCCCCCGGCCAAUGAUCUGACGCCGCCGCAACUCGCCCCUAGCCCGAACUCCGGCGUCGCCCGACUCUGAUCCCCCGCCGGCCCUCCGGCCAGAGCUCCACCGCCGCUCGACCACUCCUCCCAGACAAGUUCCCCCGCCGCUCGACGCUGUUCGCCUCCCUACAGCACAAGCUCCUCUGCUACCUGACGCCGGUCUGCCCCAGGCCAAGCUCCCCGAUCCCCUGACGCCGGUUGCAGCCCGACAUCGCUCCCCCCAACGCCAGGCUCCGCCGGUUGCAGCCCGACACCGCUCCCCCCAACGCCAGGCUCCGCCGGCCGCAGAAUACUCUACCCGGACGACUCCUCUCUCGCUUUGCUGCCGACCUUGGCAAUGAGCUCGCCGACACACCUCUGCUGCUAGGAGCUUGUCCGCAGGGCAGAGUGUUUCUCUUAGGACAAAAGGUUGUUGUGGCAAAGAAAGGGAAAGGGAAAAAGAAGGGCAAAGACAGUGAAAAAGCAACUGAAGGUCCUGAAAAACAAAAGCGUAAAAGAGCGCCUAACAAGAAAUCAGGUAACGUCGCACGUAAACCUGAGAAGAAGCCUGAGGAUUGUUUCAAAAAGAAGUCAAUAUUCUUUGAUUUGGAAUACUGGGAGUACAACAAGUUAAGGCAAAAUCUAGAUGUAAUGCAUAUUGAGAAAAAACAUCUGUCAAAAUUUAAUUGGAACCUUACUGGAUAUUGAUUCUAAAACAAAGGAUGGCCUUAAUGCACGACUUGACUUGGGAGAAAUUAGAAUUCGAUCUAGCCUUCAACCUGAUGAAGGUGAUAAGGAUAAAACUAAAUUGCCGCAUUCACCUUUUAAUAUGUAUAAAGAAAAGAAGGAGAUUCUUUGUACAGUGAUUAAGAAUUGUAGGACACCUGAUGGUUAUGCAUCAAACUUUUCGAGGUGUGUGAACAUGAAAGAAUUAACAUUGACUGGCCACAAAAUCCACGACUGUCAUGUUAUUCUAGAAGACAUCCUUCCUGUGGCACUUUUAAACUGUUAUCCCAGUAAAGAUGUCAUGAUAAUAGUUGUUGAGCUGGCUAAUUUCUUCAAGAAGCUAUGCUCCAAAGUGUUAGAUGUCUCUGAGCUUGACAAACUGCAAGAGAGUAUUGUGAAAACACUUUGUAAUAUGGAAAAAGUUUUUCUUCCAUCGUUUUUUACUGUCAUGGUACAUUUGAUGGUGCAUUUAGUUGAAGAAGCUAAACUUGGUGGCCCGGUGCAUUACAGGUGGAUGUACCCUCUAAAGAGCCCCUUUUUCUACUAGUGAGUGUUGGUGAGCCAAUUGGAAAGGCUGUCACUGUAGGCCAGUUGGACGAUCAGCUUCUAGUUCAAGCACAUCGAUAUGUCUUGCGACACUGUGAUGAGCUGAUGAUCUCCGUAGAGAAUUUGUGGAUCAAGGGAAGAGGAAGCCGGGUAACUUAAAUUUGACGGAUGAUGACAAUGAGGAUUUGAUUAGUAGACACUUUGCUGACUGGUUGGAACAAAAGGUUAUACUAGAUGAUGGACCGGAUAUUACAGAAAAGAUAAGAGCAUUAGCCGCAAAACCAAGCAAAUGCGGGGUGCGCUAUAGUGGCUAUAUAAUUAAUGGCUUCUAGUUUCAUAAUAUCAGUCGCGAGACAGGACGCGUGACACAAAAUAGUGGUGUCGUGAACCUUGCUGAAAAUGGUGUCCUAUUAUGGCCGGUUAUCUGACAUCUUCGAAUUGUCAUACAGAGAUUACAAGGUGAUGCUCUUCAAAUGUGAUUGGUAUGAUGUUCAUCACAAAGUUGGUAUUUAAGAGAUGAGUUUGGAUUCACUCAUGUGAACCUUCCCCCGCAAAAUACAUACAUGGGAGAAGUUAGAGGAUGAUCCUUUUGUAUUUUCUUCCCAAGUGGACCAGGUAUUUUAUAUCCAACAUCCGAGAAGUGAGAAUUGGAAUACCAUGGUGAAAUUCGAACCUCGUGAUAUUUUUGACAUGGGUGGAGAACCAUCUUCUGAUGAAACAGAUUAGUCUUUGUGCUUUCAGCUUGUUAUCGGCAGCUAAGAUAUAGGUUGAGCACUUGUCAUCCAUGCUCCUAGGUAGAGUUGCUCCAAUAUAACUAUUCCAGCUGGGCGGAUCUUCUUCAGAAUAUAUUGUUCCCUGUGUUACUCUGUAAUGAACGAGUCCAUGGUCUUUUUAAAUGCAUAUUUUCCCUUUUGUUAUGAAUGAA